rnacentral:misc_RNA from 1 species
GGAAGGAUCAUUAACGAGAAGCGCUGUCCCCUUCCCCCUCUGGGCGAGGGAGGGCACCCACUCCAAACCCCUCUGUCUACGAUACCACGUUGCUUUGGCGGGCCCGCCCCUCUGGGGCCACCGGCACAAGCUGGUCCGCGCCCGCCAGAGGACACAAAGACCCGCGUCAUUGUGAUGUCUGAGCACUUGUCAAGAAAUAAGCCAAAACUUUCAACAACGGAUCUCUUGGUUCUGGCAUCGAUGAAGAACGCAGCGAAAUGCGAUAAGUAAUGUGAAUUGCAGAAUUCAGUGAAUCAUCGAAUCUUUGAACGCACAUUGCACCCUCUGGUAUUCCUGGGGGUAUGCCUGUCCGAGCGUCAUUACAACCCUCAAGCUCUGCUUGGUGUUGGGCGUCGCCCUGACCUUUGCGUUGGGGCGUGCCUAAAAGCCAUUGGUAGUUGUCUGGAUCCCGAGCGAAGCAUCUCACUCCGCCCGGAAUCCAGCGUGCCAACUUGCCCCACCCAGGUUGACCUCGGAUCAGGUAGGGACACCCGCUGAACUUAAGCAUAUCAAUAAGCGGAGGAAAAGAAACCAACAGGGAUUGCCUCAGUAACGGCGAGUGAAGCGGCAACAGCUCAAAUUUGAAAUCUGGCUCCUCUGGAGCCCGAGUUGUAAUUUGUAGAGGAUGCUUCGGGCGAGGUCUGGCCUAAGUCCCUUGGGACAGGGCGUCACAGAGGGUGAGAACCCCGUAUGCGGUCGGGCACCUCAGUCCAUGUGAAGCUCCCUCGACGAGUCGAGUUGUUUGGGAUUGCAGCUCAAAAUGGGUGGUAAGUUUCAUCUAAAGCUAAAUACUGGCCAGAGACCGAUAGCGCACAAGUAGAGUGAUCGAAAGAUGAAAAGCACUUUGGAAAGAGAGUUAAAAGUACGUGAAAUUGUUGAAAGGGAAGCGCUUGCAACCAGACUUGGGCGCGGCCGAUCAGCCGGUGUUCUCACCGGUGCACUCGGCCGCGCGCAGGCCAGCAUCGGUUCUGGCGGCCAGACAAAGGCCAGGCGAAUGUGGCUCCCUUUGGGGAGUGUUAUAGCGCCUGGUGCCAUGUGGCCUGCUGGGACCGAGGACCGCGCUUCUGGCUAGGAUGUUGGCGUAAUGGUUGUAAGCGACCCGUCUUGAAACACGGACCAAGGAGUGGAAUAACUAUGCGAGUGUUUGGGCGUCAAACCCGUGCGCGAAAUGAAAGUGAACAGAGGUGAGAACCCGUCAGGGUGCAUCAUCGACCGAUCCUGAUGUCUAUCGGAUGGAUUUGAGUAAGAGCAUAGCUGUUCCGACCCGAAAGAUGGUGAACUAUGCGUGGAUAGGGUGAAGCCAGAGGAAACUCUGGUGGAGGCUCGCAGCGGUUCUGACGUGCAAAUCGAUCGUCAAAUCUGUGCAUAGGGGCGAAAGACUAAUCGAACCAUCUAGUAGCUGGUUCCUGC